UCUAAUACCUGACUCCCCGCCGAAGCCACUAUUUGCACAUCUUAAACCACUUAUUGGAUUUGUACAGGAUUUUUCAGCCUGAGUGCCAUCGCUGUGUUCACGUGGGUGAUAUUUGUAAAUCCUGGCUUUACAUGUCAUUCACCGAACCAUUGUCAGAAGGUUCCAGAUUCCCAGGCAGCCAGAAGCCCUGCUGCCUUUCAUGGCUGGAUGUUCCAUGGGCCGGGUCUUGGCUCUGGUGCUGCGGGCGGUGGGGCCCACCUGGGCCCUGGGCCUCUGUCUUCUUAGUGGAGGGCUCCCUCCUCACUCUCGGCCUGUCCCCAUGGAAGCUGGGUCAGCCCCUCACAACCUCGUCCUCGCUACCCGUCUCCAGAAAAGGUUACAACACUUCUCUGCUGGAUGCUCCAUCAAGUCUUGUUUACUGUAACCAGAAGAUAGAAUUUCCAAACAAGCCCUGGUUGCUGACAGCACUAGGAGAAGCAUGCGGCCUGCCAUUCCGGUCUCUGUCAAGCCCGAGCCCCACCUGCUUUCUGGCUUUGGCUGACACUGGUUGGUUUGGCCCCAACACAAGUGUUAGAGCAUGAGCAUGUGAGAUGCCACAGGCCAGGUGACAUGCCAGUGCUACGAAGCGGGUGGAUGGCGGGGCAUCUUUGUGUACAUAGAAAGGCCACAUGCCCCACCAAGCUGUGACAGCCACUUCUCCCAAAUUAAAUGAAUAAUAUUUCUUUCAUUAUGUUCUCACAAACAUGUUGUAAAACAAUAAGACUUGAGCUACACUCAGUCCAUAUUUCGGGAUUUCAAACGAAUGGCAAGUGAAUAUUCAUGUUUAUCUCUGAGUUGAUUGACAGGUAGAACUUUAAAAAAAACACACACACACAAAAAACAUGUUUGCCCUGGUCGGGUGGUUCAGGUGGUUGGAGUGUCCUCUUGUAUACAAAAAGGUUGCAGGUUCAAUUCUAGGUCAGGGCACAUACCUAGGUUGCGGGUUCAAUCCCUGGUUGGGUUGUGUACAAGAAGCAACUAAUCCAUGUUUCUCUCUCUCUCUCUCUCUCUCUCUCUCUCUCAAAUCAAUUUAAAAAACAUGCUUAUACCUGAUUUAAGAAUUACCUUUUCAAAGCAACACAAAUCAUCACAUGGCCAAAUGCUGCAGAGCAGCAAAUAACUUUUUUUUUCACUCUAAUAAAGCAGUAAAGAACUUACUAGAAAAACAGUGUAGGAUCUCAUACAGAUCCUCACAGUUUCCUCAGAAUUUGUAGUUCUGUACGCUCUCACCAGGUCCAUGCUGCUAAUGCACCUGCAGUUGAAUUUAUUUCAAGUGUUAGCAGAAAAGGAUUAGGAAAAAAGUUACACUUUAAAAAUUCUAGUGUGGGUUAUAGCGUUCAUAAAUGUGCUAUAUCCGGAAACCCAGGGGUUCUCUGAGUUCUGACGUUACUGCUGAAUAAAUAUGUGAACAUAAAAGUUAGAUAACAUUUCUAUGGUUUAUUUUUUUCAUCUUAAAAAUGGAAGAUCCAACCCAAGGCCAAAAUACUUCUGAAAUUUUUGAAGAAUUGCUAACGAAGAACUCAGAAAUCCUGAAAGACUCUAAAGGGCUCUUGCCUCUGCUAUCCAAAUUUUAAAUAAAAUCACUGUGAAAUUUGUGACUAUUAGCAUUUUUUCCAGCAUAAUAUGUUUUUAAACUUACAUUUUUAAAUAUCUUUAUUUUUUUAACUGCUUAGCUGAAAACCAUGAACUUCCAAGGAGCAGAAUACAUCUAGUUAAAUUCUUUGUAAUAGAUUUUACAGAUAAGAAGUGAACCGCAGAGGGAUUAAAAAAACAAAAAUUAUGUUAAUAUGUGGGGAGCUGUAAGAUUUAGACUUACAUCCUAUAGUUUGUGACUUUCACAACUACUCCCUAAUGUUCCUAAAAUAACCCACCAUAUUUCAAUGUGGGAAUACGAGUAUUCUGCAGGACCAUAGUCCAGAAUUUAUUGUGCUAUAAAUUAGAGCACAAUAAUUUAUAGUCCAGUUUUACAUCAAUGGACUCAUGGUGCUUUUUGGCAGCCAAGUCCUUUUUCACCUUCACCAGGAAAACAGCAUCUUCACUGUUUACAUCAAAGAAAGGUCACUGAUACUGCGCUAAGUAUGCUUGCAAUGUUAUGCUGCCUAAUAAAUGUCCUUUGGGGAGUUUACUUAUUCCCGUUCUGUGUGCCGAGUAGAUUAUUGCUGAUAAAAAGUUAUGCUUCCCCCGAGAACAAUAGAGAAAAGUCCCAGUUAUCUUUCCCCAAAUUCUGGGCCAUUUAGAGCAUCUUUUAAGCCCAUCGUUGGAAUAGGAAUGUCAUCUGUUUGAAAUAGCCUGCCAAAAUAGAUUUAAAUUCAGGCACUCUUGGAUACGCAGGCUCAGAGACCAGUGAGGGGAAUCUUGAGACCUUGUGGAGACAGCUUUUAUUAGAGCUUAAGUAUUAGUAUUCAACAGGGUGACUUUGAAGACUGAAUCUCUAAGCAGAAUAUUCAGACGUGGCUGCUAUCCUCCAUGUUUGUUUGUUGUCUUUUUUCUUUUCUUUUUUUUGAAGUCCAACACGGAGAAGGUUGUUCCUCACUGCACUGUGUAUAUUUCAGUAGGGAAUCUACAGAAAGAAGUACAUUACCUUGUUUAAACAUAUUGAUUCUCUGUGCCAAGUCCACCAUUUUGAGGAGGAUACCUCUCAAAUAUUUUACUGGUAGUAUGGAUGCAAAAUGGUAAACCAAGAAAAAAAUAACACGCAGAUAAAUAAAAAAUUUUCCCUGACAUUUUCUCCCCCCCCCCCCCCCGCUUUUUUUAUUUGUUCUUGAUUUUAUAUUAAUUUCAGGUCACAGUUCUAUAAUUUUCAAAGUGGUCCCCUGGAUAACACUGGCACGAUGCAGGGUGAGUACAGUAUUGUUGACUCUAUCCCCUAUGCUGGGCUUCAAAUCUCCAGCACUGUUUUGAAGCUCCCAAUUUGCACUUCUUAAUCCCUUUACCCACCCCAGCCCCCAGGCCUCUCCCUACUGGCAACUCUCAACUGGUCCUCUACAUCUCUGAGUCUGUUUCUGUUUAGUUUGCUCAUUUAUUUUUUUCUUUAGAGCUCAUAUGUAAGUAAAAUCAUAUGGCAUUUAUUGUUCUCUGUCUGACUUAUUUUACCUAGUAUAAUACCCUCUAACUCCAUCCACGUUGUCGCAAAAGGUUAGAUUUUACUAUUUUGCAUCUUUUUUUAAUUUUUAGUUUUCAAUUAUAGUGUACUAUCAAUAUGAUUUUGUAUGGGUUGAAGGUAGGUUUGCAGA